rnacentral:rRNA from 1 species
UACGAAGGGAGCUAGCGUUGUUCGGAAUCACUGGGCGUAAAGCGCGCGUAGGCGGCAGUGCAAGUCAGAGGUGAAAUACCUGGGCUCAACCCAGGAACUGCCUUUGAAACUGCACUGCUAGAGUACUGGAGGGGAUAGCGGAAUUUCUAAUGUAGCGGUGAAAUGCGUAGAUAUUAGAAGGAACACCGAUGGCGAAGGCAGCUAUCUGGACAGUCACUGACGCUGAGGCGCGAAAGCGUGGGGAUCAAACAGG